rnacentral:ncRNA from 1 species
GAGCGUGCAAGUCGGGACCCGAAAGAUGGUGAACUAUGCCUGAGGAGGUUGAAGCCAGAGGAAACUCUGGUGGAGGACCGUAGCGAUUCUGACGUGCAAAUCGAUCGUCAAAUUUGGGUAUAGGGGCGAAAGACUAAUCGAACCGUCUAGUAGCUGGUUCCCUUCGAAGUUUCCCUCAGGAUAGCUGGCGCUCUGUCGCAGUUUUAUCUGGUAAAGCGAAUGAUUAGAGGUCUUGGGGGCGAAACGCCCUCAACCUAUUCUCAAACUUUAAAUUGGUAAGAAGCCCGACUCGCUCGUUUGGAGCCGGGCAUGGAAUGCGAGUGCCAAGUGGGCCACUCUUGGUAAGCAGGACUGGCGAUGCGGGAUGAACCGAACGCCGGGUUAAGGCGCCCGACGCCACGCUCAUCAGAGCCCACAAAAGGUGUUGGUUGAUAUAGACAGCAGGACGGUGGCCAUGGAAGUCGGAAACCGCUAAGGAGUGUGUAACAACUCACCUGCCGAAUCAAUCAGCCCUGAAAAUGGAUGGCGCUGGAGCGUCGGGCCUAUACCCGGCCGUCGCGGCGGUACGAGCAUCGAGUUGGUGCGCUAGGCCGCGACGAGUAGGGAGGU